AUCCGAGUGCAAGGGCGUUAUCCAUCUCAAUGAGGCUUUGCCGAGAGUGGAUUUUUGCUAGUUGAAAACUAUACACUGACCGCUCCUACUUGGGUUCGCCUGGGUAGGGAAUUUUUGGAACACUUUUCCUAUGGAAACUUUUCUUUCAUUGCGAUCGGUCCUUUAUGAACUGGCGCGAAGAAGG
rnacentral:snRNA from 1 species